rnacentral:tRNA from 1 species
CGAUUAGAGAGGAUAUUUCCCCAUAAAUGAGUUUACAACUCACCACCUAUCAUCAGCCACCUAACC